CCGUUGUCUUCGGCCGACUACCGGCGCCGUGUCCCGUCACUCUUGUGGCAUUGUCCCGAUGGAUUGAACCUGUGGCUUGCGUGCUAGUACCCGACCUAUGGGAAGUGGUGCUUCAUAUAAUUGUUGCCUCACGAUGGACGCCCUUUGGGUGUGCCAUUGUGACCGAAUAGCGCUUGCGGCGUUGCCUCGUACAACAUCCAUAUAUUGUGCAUGUUGAUAUCACGGCAACCUCGCUCUCGCUUUUGGUCUAGGAUGCUGCUCACGAUAAAGGCUCGAGGCCCUUCGGGUUGCCUCGAUCCGAAACAAUGUUCUCUCUCCGAAAUGGCGAUAACCGGGUACAUGUCUUGCCUCUACCUCUCCACAGUUACGUGGUAGGAUACGCAACCCUAUGAUCCGGCCCUCAUGGAGGAGGAGACAUGCUCUCUCCGAAAUGGCGAUAACCGGGUACAURUSUUGCCUCUACCUCUCCACAGUUACGUGGUAGGGAUACGCAACCCUAUGAUCCGGCCCUCAUGGAGGAUGAGACAUGCCCGCUCAAAAGCGACAACUGGCUCGGCUGUUGCAUUUGUCUUUCCACGCAAGUGGAAUUGCAGGGUAACUACCGACGCUGGACGUCACCAAGAACUUGCU
rnacentral:misc_RNA from 1 species